GGAACAAUCUUGUAUAGAGCAACCGAAUUGCGGAAAAAGGAUUUGAUUUCUGUGUACGAAGAUAAAGUGAAGGGUUUGGUAAAGAAACUUCUUGCUCUUGAUGGAGUUUCAGAAAGUGAUGUCUGCUUUGAAGAUUUCCUUUGGGCGAAUUCUAUAUUUUGGUCUCGUGCUCUAAACCUU